rnacentral:tRNA from 1 species
GGGAUCGUGGCUCAAUGGCAGAACAUCUGCUUGGUAUGGAUAAGGUUCCUGGUUCAAUUCCCGUCAUUUCCA